rnacentral:lncRNA from 1 species
AAUCAGAUUGGUCAAAGUGCUGUCAUAAUUCAUCAAUCGAGUUCGCGAAUUGUAUUCUACGGAGUGUUAACAUGUAAAUGUGAUACGGGAAAUAACAAAUAUUCAUUUUAUUCAAACGAGACACAUUAUUUUAAUAAGUUCUUGCAUAAGAAAUCAUAUCGCAACCAGAUACUCAACAUUACCAACAAUUAAAAUGUAGUAGAUAUGCUGAACUGUACACCUUUCGUUGCAGAAGAAACGCGAGCAAGUGAGGCACUGAAUGAAAUGUAAAAGCUAUUAACUCCCUAAUUUAGUUCAUAUGAAAAGUGGCAACCAUGGCCUAAGGCAAUCUAAAUUCCACUGGAAGCACAUUCUUCCAUAAAUGGUUAAUCCGAAAUAGCCAUCCGUUAUACCCGUAAUACCCUGUAGCAAGUAACAUAAGCAGGCGAUGUUUCACCUACAUAGCAAAGUGUACACAGAUAACAUAAACACACCGAACAGAACAGGAAAACAAGAAGGAGCCGAAGGAGAAGGAAUGGAGCAUCAAUCCCGGCUGGGUGGCCACCGAGAUCGUUCCGGACGAAACGAAGGCCAAGCUGGGCGAGGUAAUCCUCCAGGCGGACGACGUCGCUCAGGCUGUACUGUACGCCCUAUCCACGCCACCGCACACUCAGGUGGAGCAGAUAACGCUGAGGGCGGUGGGCGAAUAUUUCUGAUAGCCCGACAACACAACGCAGCCCCCGAGAUUAGGCAAUCGACUUGCAGUGGAACAGUAAAAAUCAAAUAAAGGCGAACGACCCGAUCCGACAUGGCGCACAUGACACACGGCGAGAUACUCACAUACCCCCCCACAUUUGGUUUGCCACAAACUGUUGGCACUCACCUCGUUUCGUUUUAUUUUUAUUAUUGUGUUCAGUUACUACGUAGUAUAUACAUAUAUGUAUCUAUAUAUGGCAUAUGUGUUCAGCACCUUUCCUCAAGCCAAAUAAAUAAUUCAGUUUUGUGAACUAAC